rnacentral:rRNA from 1 species
AGUGAACGCUGGCGGCAGGCCUAAUACAUGCAAGUCGAACGGCAGCACAGCAGAGCUUGCUCUGUGGGUGGCGAGUGGCGGACGGGUGAGGAAUACAUGGGAAUCUGCCCAGUCGUGGGGGAUAACGUAUGGAAACGUACGCUAAUACCGCAUGCGCCCUAAGGGGGAAAGCCGGGGACCGCAAGGCCUGGCGCGAUUGGAUGAGCCCAUGUUCGAUUAGCUAGUUGGCGGGGUAAAGGCCCACCAAGGCGACGAUCGGUAGCUGAUCUGAGAGGAUGAUCAGCCACACUGGAACUGAGACACGGUCCAGACUCCUACGGGAGGCAGCAGUGGGGAAUAUUGGACAAUGGGCGCAAGCCUGAUCCAGCCAUGCCGCGUGGGUGAAGAA